rnacentral:Y_RNA from 1 species
GGCUGGUUUGAGUGCAGUGGUGUUUACAGCUAAUUGAUUACAACCAGUUACAGAUUUCUUUGUUCUUUCUCCACUCCCACUGCUUCGCAUGACUGGCCUUAA